GGCAGUGUGGUGUAGUGGUUUGAGUGUUGGACUAUAAUUCUAGAGAUGAGAGUUCAAAUCCCUGCUCAGCCA